CAGCAGCCACGGUAACACGAGGGGGGCAAGCGUUGUUCGGAAUUAUUGGGCGUAAAGGGUGCGUAGGCGGUUCAGCAAGUCUCGUGUGAAAUCUUCGGGCUCAACCCGAAGUCUGCACGGGAAACUACUGGGCUUGAGUAGUGGAGAAGUGAGUGGAGUUUCCGGUGUAGCGGUGAAAUGCGUAGAUAUCGGAAGGAACACCUGUGGCGAAAGCGGCUCACUGGACAUUUACUGACGCUGAUGUACGAAGGCUAGGGGAGCAAACAGGAUUAGAUACCCCGGUAGUCCCUGUCUCUUAUAC
rnacentral:rRNA from 1 species